rnacentral:rRNA from 1 species
GACGAACGCUGGCGGCGUGCUUAACACAUGCAAGUCGAACGGAAAGGCCCUGCUUUUGUGGGGUGCUCGAGUGGCGAACGGGUGAGUAACACGUGAGUAACCUGCCCUUGACUUUGGGAUAACUUCAGGAAACUGGGGCUAAUACCGGAUAGGAGCUCCUGCUGCAUGGUGGGGGUUGGAAAGUUUCGGCGGUUGGGGAUGGACUCGCGGCUUAUCAGCUUGUUGGUGGGGUAGUGGCUUACCAAGGCUUUGACGGGUAGCCGGCCUGAGAGGGUGACCGGCCACAAUGGGACUGAGAUACGGCCCAGACUCCUACGGGGGGCAGCAGUGGGGAGUAUUGCACAAUGGGCGGGAGCCUGAUGCAGCAACGCCGCGUGCGGGAUGACGGCCUUCGGGGUGUAAACCGCUUUCGCCUGAGACGAAGCGUGAGUGACGGUAAUGGGUGAAGAAGCACCGGCUAACUACGUG